AGUGAACGCUGGCGGUAGGCCUAACACAUGCAAGUCGAACGGCAGCACAGAGGAGCUUGCUCCUUGGGUGGCGAGUGGCUGACGGGUGAGGAAUACAUCGGAAUCUACUCUGUCGUGGGGGAUAACGUAGGGAAACUUACGCUAAUACCGCAUACGACCUACGGGUGAAAGCAGGGGAUCUUCGGACCUUGCGCGAUUGAAUGAGCCGAUGUCGGAUUAGCUAGUUGGCGGGGUAAAGGCCCACCAAGGCGACGAUCCGUAGCUGGUCUGAGAGGAUGAUCAGCCACACUGGAACUGAGACACGGUCCAGACUCCUACGGGAGGCAGCAGUGGGGAAUAUUGGACAAUGGGCGCAAGCCUGAUCCAGCCAUACCGCGUGGGUGAAAAAGGCCUUCGGGUUGUAAAGCCCUUUUGUUGGGAAAGAAAUCCAUCUGGUUAAUACCCGGGUGGGAUGACGGUACCCAAAGAAUAAGCACCGGCUAACUUCGUGCCAGCCGCCGCGGUAA
rnacentral:rRNA from 1 species